UACGGAGGGGGCUAGCGUUGUUCGGAAUUACUGGGCGUAAAGCGCGCGUAGGCGGACCUGCAAGUCGGGGGUGAAAGCCCGAGGCUCAACCUCGGAACUGCCUUCGAUACUGCGGGUCUCGAGUCCGGGAGAGGUGAGUGGAAUCCGUAGUGUAGAGGUGAAAUUCGUAGAUAUUAGGAAGAACACCAGUGGCGAAGGCGGCUCACUGGCCCGGUACUCGACGCUGAGGCGCGAAAAGCGUGGGGAGCAAACAGGG
rnacentral:rRNA from 1 species